rnacentral:rRNA from 1 species
UACAGGGGGGGCAAGCGUUGUUCGGAAUUACUGGGCGUAAAGGGUCUGUAGGUGGCUUGCUAAGUCAGACGUGAAAUCCCUCAGCUUAACUGGGGAACUGCGUCUGAUACUGGCAAGCUUGAGUGCAGGAGAGGAACGCGGAAUUCCAGGUGUAGCGGUGAAAUGCGUAGAUAUUAGGAAGAACACCAGUGGCGAAGGCGGCUCACUGGUCCGGUACUGACGCUGAGGUGCGAAAGCGUGGGGAGCAAACAGG